AAAUUGAAGAGUUUGAUCAUGGCUCAGAUUGAACGCUGGCGGCAGGCCUAACACAUGCAAGUCGAACGGUAACAGGAAGCAGCUUGCUGCUUUGCUGACGAGUGGCGGACGGGUGAGUAAUGUCUGGGAAACUGCCUGAUGGAGGGGGAUAACUACUGGAAACGGUGGCUAAUACCGCAUAACGUCGCAAGACCAAAGAGGGGGACCUUCGGGCCUCUUGCCAUCAGAUGUGCCCAGAUGGGAUUAGCUAGUUGGUGAGGUAACGGCUCACCAAGGCGACGAUCCCUAGCUGGUCUGAGAGGAUGACCAGCCACACUGGAACUGAGACACGGUCCAGACUCCUACGGGAGGCAGCAGUGGGGAAUAUUGCACAAUGGGCGCAAGCCUGAUGCAGCCAUGCCGCGUGUAUGAAGAAGGCCUUAGGGUUGUAAAGUACUUUCAGCGGGGAGGAAGGUGUUGUGGUUAAUAACCGCAGCAAUUGACGUUACCCGCAGAAGAAGCACCGGCUAACUCCGUGCCAGCAGCCGCGGUAAUACGGAGGGUGCAAGCGUUAAUCGGAAUUACUGGGCGUAAAGCGCACGCAGGCGGUCUGUCAAGUCGGAUGUGAAAUCCCCGGGCUCAACCUGGGAACUGCAU
rnacentral:rRNA from 1 species